rnacentral:lncRNA from 1 species
UGGAAUCUAUGGGUGUCGAGAUGGUCAGAGAGCUACCAUAUUAGAGCAGAAAAACAUAACAAGGGAAGAGAUGCAACUUAGGGAGAUGACGGAGACAUCUGUCGGCGGACCUGAGUUCCCAGCACCUAAGUCAGGAUGCUCGCGACUUCUGUGAUGCCAGCUCCAAGGGAUCUAACGCCCUCUUCUGGACUCCAGGGAUCCCUGUAGCAUAGAGGAGGGUGAGCGGCAACCUUGGAUACACUCAAACCGCUCGGGAACGGAUGCUCAUCUCACCUGCCAGCCUCCUGCAAUGCCAAGUUGUUCUGCGGCCCAACUGGCGUUGUAACCAAUGAAUUCAAGCCCUGCCAAUCAAACAGCUACCGCAUCAGAAGCUUACCUUUUACCAUGGACCAAUGAUGCUGUCACAUUCCAAGUCCAUCAGGAUGAAUCCAUUCACAUCAGAGCAGCCAUAUUUCACUGGACCUUUGAGACAGCCUCACAGACACCAGCAGCGGGAGCGUGGGCAUGAAGUGUGUUCUCAUGCGCACAGGACCUGGGACUCAGCCGGGAAAGCGGAUGCCAGUGUGACUGUGACAGGCAGAUGAGGCUAUCAGUUGGAAAAGUCAGGUGAUAGAGUCUCGCAGACUCUUACUUCAGCUCCAUUUGGCAGCUUGAUCGUGUGCCACGCGUGAAAGAGAUGCUAUGCUAUGCAGCAGGAAUCGAUCUUGCAGGCUGGCCUCCUGAACUGAAAAGCAGGACAGACCCAUGCGUGAAGUCAGGGGCUCCCUGGGGCAUCUAGUAGGCUGCAGGUAUGAGAUAGAGGAUGAAGAAUGCCCGUAAGGGACAAUCAACAUGGGGUUCAUGGGUUCCUCAUUGGCCUUGGGCAUCUCAACCCAGUCACUUCUACAAGUGUCACGAGAGGAGGAGGGGACUUUACAAAGGUGGAUCCCCCUUCUGCAUUUCAGGGUGUUCCUGUUCUUCUCGGGUGACUUACAUGCUGUUCACCCCCUCUCCUGUGCUAACCCAUCCCUUGUGGUGCCCCAAGGAGAUAAGGACCUCUGUUGGCUCCCUCAUUUCUUUCGUGUUUGUGGCUACUGAGGCACAGAGGUUACCUGGUUGCCAUGGUAACUUGGUGGACAGCUGAUGUCCAAGGUUGCCUUCUCCCGCUGUAAUAAACACCACGACCAAAAGCGACCUGAGG